rnacentral:rRNA from 1 species
UACGUAGGCAGCGAGCGUUGUUCGGAGUUACUGGCGUAAAGAGCUCGUAGGCGGCUUGUCGCGUCGUUCGUGAAAACCUGCAGCUCAACUGCAGGCUUGCGGUCGAUACGGGCAGGCUAGAGUUCGGUAGGGGAGACUGGAAUUCCUGGUGUAGCGGUGAAAUGCGCAGAUAUCAGGAGGAACACCGGUGGCGAAGGCGGGUCUCUGGGCCGAUAUUGACGCUGAGGAGCGAAAGCGUGGGGAGCGAACAGG